rnacentral:rRNA from 1 species
GAUGAACGCUGGCGGCGUGCCUAAUACAUGCAAGUCGAGAGACUGGAUUAAGAGCUUGCUCUUAUGAAGUUAGCGGCGGACGGGUGAGUAACACGUGGGUAACCUGCCCAUAAGACUGGGAUAACUCCGGGAAACCGGGGCUAAUACCGGAUAACAUUUUGAACCGCAUGGUUCGAAAUUGAAAGGCGGCUUCGGCUGUCACUUAUGGAUGGACCCGCGUCGCAUUAUCUAGUUGGUGAAGUAACGGCUCACCAAGGCAACGAUGCGUAGCCGACCUGAGAGGGUAACCGGCCACACUGGGACCGAGACACUGCACAGACUCCUACGGGAGGCAGCAGUGUGGAAUCUUCCGAAAUGGACGAAAGUCUGACGGAGCAACGCCGCGUGAGUGAUGAAGGCUUUCGGGUCGUAAAACUCUGUUGUUAGGGAAGAACAAGUGCUAGUUGAAUAAGCUGGCACCUUGACGGUACCUAACCAGAAAGCCACGGCUAACUACGUGCCAGCCGCCGCGGUAA